UACGAAGGGGGGCUAGCGUUGCUCGGAAUCACUGGGCGUAAGGGUGCGUAGGCGGGUCUUUAAGUCAGGGGGUGAAAUCCUGGAGCUCAACUCCAGAACUGCCUUUGAUACUGAGGAUCUUGAGUUCGGGAGAGGUGAGUGGAACUGCCGAGUGUAGAGGUGAAAUUCGUAGAUAUUUCGCAAGAACACCAGUGGCGAAAGGCGGCUCACUGGCCCGAUACUGACGCUGAGGCACGAAAGCGUGGGGAGGCAAACAGG
rnacentral:rRNA from 1 species